rnacentral:rRNA from 1 species
GAUGAACGCUGACAGAAUGCUUAACACAUGCAAGUCCACUUGAACUUCGGUUUGGGUGGCGGACGGGUGAGUAACGCGUAAGGAACUUGCCUCACAGAUAGGGACAACAUUUGGAAACGAAUGCUAAUACCUGAUAUUAUGAUUAUAUGGCAUCGUAUAAUUAUGAAAGCUAUAUGCGCUGUGAGAGAGCUUUGCGUCCCAUUAGCUAGUUGGAGAGGUAACGGCUCACCAAGGCGAUGAUGGGUAGCCGGCCUGAGAGGGUGAUCGGCCACAAGGGGACUGAGACACGGCCCUUACUCCUACGGGAGGCAGCAGUGGGGAAUAUUGGACAAUGGACCAAGAGUCUGAUCCAGCAAUUCUGUGUGCACGAUGAAGUUUUUCGGAAUGUAAAGUGCUUUCAGUUGGGAAGAAAAAAAUGACGGUACCAACAGAAGAAGUGACGGCUAAAUACGUG